GAGUUUGAUCCUGGCUCAGGAUGAACGCUAGCGACAGGCUUAACACAUGCAAGUCGAGGGGCAGCGGUGGUGAAGGCUUGCCUUCACCAGCCGGCGACCGGCGCACGGGUGAGUAACACGUAUGCAACCUGCCUGCCACAGCCGGAUAAUCGGGAGAAAUCCCGUCUAAUACGGCAUAAUGCAUCGACGGGACAUCCUGUUGGUGCCAAAGGUUAAUUCCGGUGGCGGAUGGGCAUGCGUCGCAUUAGUUAGUUGGCGGUGUAACGGACCACCAAGACGACGAUGCGUAGGGGUUCUGAGAGGAAGGUCCCCCACACUGGUACUGAGACACGGACCAGACUCCUACGGGAGGCAGCAGUGAGGAAUAUUGGUCAAUGGGCGGGAGCCUGAACCAGCCAAGUCGCGUGAGGGAUGACGGCCCUAUGGGUUGUAAACCUCUUUUGCCGGGGAGCAAAGUGCCGCACGUGUGCGGUUUGGAGAGUACCCGGAGAAAAAGCAUCGGCUAACUCCGUGCCAGCAGCCGCGGUAAUACGGAGGAUGCGAGCGUUAUCCGGAUUUAUUGGGUUUAAAGGGUGCGUAGGCGAACGCUUAAGUCAGCGGUAAAAUUGCGGGGCUCAACCUCGUCGAGCCGUUGAAACUGGUGGCCUCGAGUGGGCGAGAAGUAUGCGGAAUGCGUGGUGUAGCGGUGAAAUGCAUAGAUAUCACGCAGAACUCCGAUUGCGAAGGCAGCAUACCGGCGCCCGACUGACGCUGAGGCACGAAAGCGUGGGUAUCGAACAGGAUUAGAUACCCUGGUAGUCCACGCAGUAAACGAUGAAUGCUAGCUGUCCGGGGCUUCGGUCCUGGGUGGCACAGCGAAAGCGUUAAGCAUUCCACCUGGGGAGUACGCCGGCAACGGUGAAACUCAAAGGAAUUGACGG
rnacentral:rRNA from 1 species